rnacentral:rRNA from 1 species
AUGAACGCUGGCGGCGUGCCUAAUACAUGCAAGUCGAGCGAACGGACGAGAAGCUUGCUUCUCUGAUGUUAGCGGCGGACGGGUGAGUAACACGUGGAUAACCUACCUAUAAGACUGGGAUAACUUCGGGAAACCGGAGCUAAUACCGGAUAAUAUUUUGAACCGCAUGGUUCAAAAGUGGAAGACGGUCUUGCUGUCACUUAUAGAUGGAUCCGCGCUGCAUUAGCUAGUUGGUAAGGUAACGGCUUACCAAGGCAACGAUGCAUAGCCGACCUGAGAGGGUGAUCGGCCACACUGGAACUGAGACACGGUCCAGACUCCUACGGGAGGCAGCAGUAGGGAAUCUUCCGCAAUGGGCGAAAGCCUGACGGAGCAACGCCGCGUGAGUGAUGAAGGUCUUCGGAUCGUAAAACUCUGUUAUUAGGGAAGAACAUAUGUGUAAGUAACUGUGCACAUCUUGACGGUACCUAAUCAGAAAGCCACGGCUAACUACGUG